AUCGAACGCUGGCGGCAGGCCUAACACAUGCAAGUCGAACGAGUGGCGGACGGGUGCGUAAUGUCUGGGAAACUGCCUGAUGGAGGGGGAUAACUACUGGAAACGGUAGCUAAUACCGCAUACCAUCGGAUGUGCCCAGAUGGGAUUAGCUAGUAGGGGGGGUAAAGGCUCACCUAGGCGACGAUCCCUAGCUGGUCUGAGAGGAUGACCAGCCACCCUGGGACUGAGACACGGUCCAGCAUCCUACGGGAGGCAGCAGUGGGGAAUAUUGCACAAUGGGCGCAAGCCUAAUGCAGCCAUGCCGCGUUUAUGAAGAAGGCCUUCGGGUUGUAAAGUACUUUCAGCGGGGAGGCGUUACCCGAAGAGAAAGCACCGGCUAACUCCGUGCCAGCAGCCGCGGUAAUUG
rnacentral:rRNA from 1 species